UACGUAGGGACCAAGCGUUGUUCGGAUUUACUGGGCGUAAAGGGCGCGUAGGCGGCGCGGUAAGUCACUUGUGAAAUCUCUGAGCUUAACUCAGAACGGCCAAGUGAUACUGCAGUGCUAGAGUGUGGAAGGGGCAAUCGGAAUUCUUGGUGUAGCGGUGAAAUGCGUAGAUAUCGAGAGGAACACCUGCGGCGAAGGCGGGUUGCUGGGCUGACACUGACGCUGAAGUGCGAAAGCUAGGGGAGCGAACGGG
rnacentral:rRNA from 1 species